AUACGUAGGGGGCGAGCGUUGUCCGGAAUGAUUGGGCGUAAAGGGCGCGUAGGCGGCUUUGCAAGUCAGUAGUGGAAGUCCAUUUUUCAAGGAUGGAAGUGCUACAGAAACUGCGGAGCUUGAGUGCAGGAGAGGUUAUCGGAAUUCCCGGUGUAGCGGUGAAAUGCGUAGAGAUCGGGAGGAACACCAGUGGCGAAGGCGGGUAACUGGACUGCAACUGACGCUGAGGCGCGAAAGUGUGGGGAGCAAACAGGAUUAGAUACCCUGGUAGUCCACACUGUAAACGAUGAAUGCUAGGUGUAGGAGGUAUCGACCCCUUCUGUGCCGCAGUAAACACAGUAAGCAUUCCGCCUGGGGAGUACGGUCGCAAGAUUAAAACUCAAAUGAAUUGACGGGG
rnacentral:rRNA from 1 species